rnacentral:misc_RNA from 1 species
GAUGAAGAACGCAGCGAAAUGCGAUAAGUAAUGUGAAUUGCAGAAUUCAGUGAAUCAUCGAAUCUUUGAACGCACAUUGCGCCCGCCAGUAUUCUGGCGGGCAUGCCUGUUCGAGCGUCAUUUCAACCAUCAAGCCCCCGGGCUUGUGUUGGGGACCCGCGGCUGCCGCAGGCCCUGAAAAGCAGUGGCGGGCUCGCUGUCACACCGAGCGUAGUAGAUUUUAUCUCGCUCUGGGCGUGCUGCGGGUUCCGGCCGUUAAACCACCCUUUUAACCCAAGGUUGACCUCGGAUCAGGUAGGAAGACCCGCUGAACUUAAGCAUAUCAAUAAGCGGAGGA